rnacentral:lncRNA from 1 species
UGUAGGAAAAGAAAGGAAAACACCUGGAGAUCCUGGGUUUGGUGGUGAUUUUAUUUAUUUUAGAGAAAGAACAUGAACUGAUUGAGGGGAGAGAGGGGCAAGCAGUUUCUACACUGAACAUAAAGCCCAAUGUGGGGCUCGAUCCCACAGCCCUGAGAUCAUGACGUGAGCUGAAGUCAAGUCAGAUGCUUUACUGAGUAAGUCACCCAGAUGUCCCUAAAAUUCUUGUUUUGUUUCAAGAGAUCUGGAUGAAAUAAAAAUAAUAUACUAAAAGCUGAUAUGAAUUCCAGU